AUGGAUCCUUUGGAUUAUCUGUCAAUCAGGUUCCAUUUCAGAGGGAAUUUUUACCAUGAUGGUACAGAGUGGCAGUAUGUGGGUGGUAAACAUGGUAUAUCCACAGUUCAUCUGUCAAAACUGAGCCUUGAAGAAUUGAAAAACAAUCUUGCGGACCAUGUUGCAUGUUCAGGAAAAGCUCUGAAGUUAUGGACAUAUAUUGUAAGAUACCUGAUGAGUUUUCAGAGGAAGAGGCUAGUGACUGGGAGGAUGAGCAUGCAAAGGAGCAGCAAGAACAUAUCGAGGAGCAGCAGCAACAUGUAG
rnacentral:rRNA from 1 species